GACCUCAGGUCAGGCGGGGCUACCCGCUGAGUUUAAGCAUAUCAAUAAGCGGAGGAGAAG
rnacentral:rRNA from 2 species